AUCUACCUCCUACACUACCCAGUGGAGGGAAUGAGAGAUGCAGUAUCACUGAAGAGAGGACAAAUGAGAGGAGAGGGCAGGAGAGAAGUGGAGAGAAGAAGAGAAGAGGAGACAUUGAGCAUCUUUAUAGCAACUGUACUUUGGGGUGGAGCUUGUAGGUAAACUAAGCAGAAAUUUUCAAUUGUAAAACUUGCAGAUGAAGUUGGUUUGGAGUAUUCAGGUUCUGUUGUGCUAUUAGUCAGUUUGACUUCCAACCCCAGCCAUGUUGUUCAUCUGGUCACUUAUUAUGUUCUCAGUAAUAGGAGGCAGUUAUGAGCAGACUAUCGAGCCAAACCAACAUGAAGUGUAUGCAGAAGUGGGUAGUAAUAUUCUUCUUUCCUGCAACUACUCCUCAGCGUACAAUCUACUAUGGUAUAAACAGUCUCCAGGAUCAGCUCCCCAAUAUCUUCUGCUCAUCCCGCACUCCACUGGGACUGAAUAUAGAGAUGACUCUCUUGACUCUCGCUUCUCUGGUAAACUGAACAAAGAGAAGACCCGUGUGGAUCUGGAGAUCUCCUCUGCUGAAGUGACAGACUCUGCUCUGUACUACUGUGCUCUGAGGCCCACAGUGACAGGAAACCCAGAAACACUGUACAAAAACCUAACAUCGUCUGAGAGAGUAUUUCUACUCUGUAGUUCCAGGUUUUAUUUGACAGUAGUUCCAUCAAGUGGCGUCAACAUGAACCCAUUAUAUUAUGUCAAGAGGAGGAGAAUAGUGUUAUUCAUACCAUGUAAUGAGUGGAACUGAUUCAACCAGAGAGUGAAUGUUCCAAGAGAAGAUCAUUAGAGAAGUCUCUGUCUAACACCCAGUCGCUAUGAUGCUGCUCUAAUCAGUCCUGUUUUUGUGCACUUGUUGGUAAGAAUUCCCUCUCAUUAAAACCUUUUGGGGCUAGGGGGCAGUAUUUUCACAGCCGGAUGAAAAACGCACCCAAUUUGAACAGGUUACUACUCUG